rnacentral:ribozyme from 11 species
AUGCAUUUGAUUGACAGAAAGAAACAAAAAAGUAAGGACCAAAGAAAGAGGCAAAGAGAAUUCAUUUGUACAUCUGCUUGUGGUGCAUCCAUCCA